GAUCAUCAAGUAAAAAGCUUUCCACAGCAUCUCAUUUGCUACAGCAACACAAUGCCUGUGGACUUCUUGAAGACAAAAGAAUGUCUUCUUUUAUAUCCCAGGACAAUGUCAGCUUUAUAUCUCAAGGUUUAUCACAAUGGCUAUUCCCUGGGAGAUGUGACCACCGGAGCAGUGUCCACCCUCGGAGGCUUAAGUGAGCUCAGGGGGGUUGCUGUGGAGGCAAACGACCAGAGAGAAAUACAAGACAGCCUAGCUUGGCACAAAGGAGAUGGGACCAUCCAUGGAAAUCACUGACCUGGAGGAAUAGGACUGCCUGCAUAGGGAGAAGGUGA